UGUGUAGCUGGUUGAAGCGCCGGACUAGCGAUGCGGAGUCGUGGGUUCAAAUCCCACCAAAACAA
rnacentral:tRNA from 1 species